CAGUAGCCGCGGUAAUACGAAGGGUGCAAGCGUUACUCGGAAUUACUGGGCGUAAAGCGUGCGUAGGUGGUGGUUUAAGUCUGUUGUGAAAGCCCUGGGCUCAACCUGGGAAUUGCAGUGGAUACUGGGUCACUAGAGUGUGGUAGAGGAUAGUGGAAUUUCCGGUGUAGCAGUGAAAUGCGUAGAGAUCGGAAGGAACAUCUGUGGCGAAGGCGACUAUCUGGGCCAACACUGACACUGAGGCACGAAAGCGUGGGGAGCAAACAGGAUUAGAUACCCCUGUAGUCCCUGUCUCUUAUAC
rnacentral:rRNA from 1 species